rnacentral:misc_RNA from 1 species
UUUCCGUAGGUGAACCUGCGGAAGGAUCAUUGUCGAUACCUGUCCAAAACAGAACGACCCGAGAACCAAAGAUCACCACUCGCGGUAAGGCCGAUUUCGUAACAGAUUUCGUGCCUGCCGAAUCCGUGGUUUCGCGUACCUUCCCGGUCGAGAAAAACUCUCGGCCUGGUCGUGCUCGUUGCUUCCGGAUAUCACAAAUCCCCGGCACGAAAAGUGUCAAGGAACAUGCAACCGAACGGCUAUAGCAUUCGCCUCCCCGGAGACGGUGUGUGCGCGGAUGCUUAGCUGCGAUAUAAAGUCUAAAACGACUCUCGGCAACGGAUAUCUCGGCUCUC